AAGUUUCUUUUCGUAUAUCAGUCUUGUUGGAUGAAGCGCUUAUUAUUGCGUUAUGGGAACGAAAUGUGUUUAAUGGAUGCCACUUAUCGCACAUGUAGGUAUGCACUACCGUUGUUUUUCUUAUGUGUCCGAUCAAAUGUUUGUUACAUCGUUGUUGCUGUCUUCAUAUCCCAAAA